rnacentral:snRNA from 1 species
AUCGCUUCUCGGCCUUUUGGCUAAGAUCAAGUGUAGUAUCUACCUGUUCUUAUCAGUUUAAUAUCUGAUACGUCCUCUAUCCGAGGACAAUAUAUUAAAUGGAUUUUUGGAACAGGGAGAUGGAAUAGGACCUUGCUCCGUCCACUCCAUGCAUCGACCUGGUAUUGCAGUAACUCCAGGAAAGGUGCACCCCUC